rnacentral:lncRNA from 1 species
UCACCUUCAGGUAUUACUACAAACCUUCUGAUUUAUAGUCGUCGAAAGGGUGUAAUAAACACUCCAAAAGAAUCAACCUUGUCCACGUUACCCUAAGGCAAUGCCUACUAUAUUACAUGGACUUAAACUAGUUUUUACAUGAAAGAAAAGUGUACAUCGGUAUGGACAAGAGAGAGAAGAAAAUGCUUCAUCAUUCAUGAGUAGUAUUUUGAAUUCCCUUCUUUUCAAUAAUUACUUCGCGGAAAUAAUAUCGAGUGUCUUGUCCUCUUGAGUUCCGGUGGUGCAUUACAAUGCUAAAGUAUGUUGUGCCCCUGGAUGUAAAACAGGAUAUAAGAAUGAAGGGAAGGAUCUAACGGUCAUUAUGGAUGUAUUAACGAAGAAAGAAGAUCAUCGUCAUGAAUGGACUCAAGCAAUUCAACGAUUGAAUUGAAGGUUUACCAAAGCACUAUUCGAGGCAUUUUCCCAAAGAGAAAUUAAAUAGGACAAGUUGUAUGGCACAAUAUGAAGCUGAAACUAAUAGGCUAGAAAACGGCAUAUCUGAUUUUUUUGAAGCAGAGUGAAUCCAAUCCAUUUCAGAGCUAAAAAGCCAUAUUCAUGGAAUGUCUUUACCAUUUGAUAUACUGAUUCAAUGGAAAGAAGAAUCCGUUCUAUGCCCUUGCUAUGCCCCCUGAUCCUAAUUUGAAAUUCAGUCUCUUGGUUAAAUCACUUAUGACUUUUAAGGGCAUGUUAAUGGAAGUCAUGUGCCCAUGAGAGAUUUUUCUGAGUUGGCUCCACGGGCUACCAUUACAAAAACGAGUAAGAUAUGCAAUUUGAUCUCCAAGACUAAAUCACUAUGUUCGGAAACAUUUAUGUCAAAAAUAUAAUUCGUCAUUGAGAAUUCUAUUGACUUACUCAAUGGUAUUGUGGAAAAUAUCGAUAGAAGCUUAAAACCAUCGUUACUUUUUUUGAUUGAGCAACUCGAAUUCUGUAAAUACAAAAAAGGAGCUACGAAAUACUCCCCAUGCACGCUUGCAAUGGCUCUUAUCUGGAAAAAGGCAUUCACAUCUUUGUAUAAGGUUAUAUUGAGCAAAGGAAUACUGAAAUUACCAUCUUUCAGUAGUUAACAAGGCUUUCGAGCUGCUUUACAGUCAAUGCAGGACUUAAUCUUCAAACUAUAAAAUGUUUAGAACAAACGAUAAAGAAUCUCAACGAUAGAGAAAGAAUUGUAACCAUUAUUACGUAUGAAUUGUACUGUGCAAAAGUUUGUGAGUAUACAGGAGGGAAAUUUUACGGCAUUAAUGAUGGAGGGGAUACACCAACCAAGACAUUGCUUUGUGUGGUGAUCAAAAGCUUAACUAACAAACAUGAAGAUAUUAUUGUAAUAGUACCUUUAACAAAAUUAGACUCUAAAAUUCAGGGAAAAUUAUUCUACCGAGUUGUAGAAGCAAUUACACCUCUUGGUUUUGAGCCAGUUGCAUCACUGCUUGAUGGAUAUAUGCAAACCGAAAAUUCUAAACUCAAGAGGUAGGAAACAGCAAAUUGGAUACGCAUAUUGUCAACCCUUGUGAUAGUGGGAAAAAGUUUUUUAUUUAUUUGAUUCAGUGCAUAUAUUUAUGUGCAUAUACAACAACUUAUUGGGAAGAAAGUUUUUGAAAUGUACUUUGUUUACUGGUGAAGAAGUGAUUAUUGAAUUUAUCCAUAUAAAAAAUUAUAUCAUCUCGAGCAAACAAAACCUGUGAAGUAUAGACCCAAAUUGAAUGACAAAGUUCUUAACCCUCAUUCGAUUGAAAAAACCAACGUCAAGCUAGCAGAUGCCUUGUUCUAUGAAAGUACCAUUAUGGCCUUGAAAUUUUAUGGAAACAAUAGCAAUCUUUUUGAAGCUUAUUUGGCGCUGGGGGAAUUUCUUCAACGUUAAAUCUUCAACUACAGGCCUAAAAAGAAAGCUCGGAAUAGUGAACCCAUAACAUAAUUUAAUUUUGAACAAACGAAUGCUUUUUGCAAAUAAUUUAUUAAUUGGUCGGAUAAUUUUCGAACAAACUCAUCAAAAUGAAAUUGUUUUAGUGCAGAAUCAUUUUUCACAUUAAUCCAAACAACUUUUGCUAUGAUGGACUUGUUUCCAUAUAUAAUUUCAAUAAAAGUUUUAAUUAUAAUUUGACUUGAAAAAUUCAGUCAGGCCCGUUGGAACAAAAGUUUGGUUUCUAUUGAUAUAGUAGUGUAUGCAACUAUUAGACAAGUGUGAGACCGUUUCAUGAAACAGAAACAUAUGUACGAUUAUCUUCCCUUAUCAAGUUUAGCGAACAUUUAGUGAACUUUUUUUCAGAAAUUUGAGGAUGACCUUGUUACCGCUGCUGAUCUUUUUCUGGAAAACUUAAGUGUCAAUGUCAUUCCAGCGCAUGCUGACCCAAAAAUACUAUUUUACAUUUUAGGAUAUUGUGCGAAAUCUAUUUUGUCCAAAGUUAAAUGUUCCUUAUGUAAACUUUACUUAAAAUAUGAAGAGGACAACUCGCAAAGUAAUUUUUUAAUGCUAUCGCUUUUUGACGAAAUCGAUAACCACACUCUUGAAUCACAUAAGGACAUAAGGAUAAGGAUUAUCAUAAAUAUAUCAAGUCUUUAUUAGUUUAGUAGAACCAUUUAACGAACUAUUUAUACUGAUUCAGGAAGCCUAGAAAUUUGAUGUAUCUAUUUUUCAAUCCAUUGAGCAUAAAAUAAUACUUUUGAAUAAUUCAAAUAAACGAAAUCUCUUUGUUGAAAGCUUCAUUCAUUACUUAAAAAUGAGUCUAGUCUUUUUCUUGGCAGACAAUGUGAGAAUGGUCAUCCGUUCAAACAAAGGUUUAUUUAAGUUAUUUAAUAUCAUGAACAAACAUUUUGUUAAAGAAAUUAAUAACUUAAUUCAUAAAGCCGAAAGAGAUACGCCAAAACAGCAGAAUAAAAGUAUUUCGGAUUAGGUAAAGAA